rnacentral:misc_RNA from 1 species
UUGAAAGUUUUGGGGAUACUGUUGCUGGUCUUUCACAAGGCAUGUGCACGUAUCUCUAAUCUAUUCAUCCACCUGUGCAUCUUUUGUAGAAGUUCUUUUGGGUUGGCUUACAAGGUCCUUUUGGAUAUUGUAUGGUUAAUUUGAAAGGCUUCUAUGUCUUUAUAAACCAAUCAAGUAUGUUUAGAAUGUGUUGUAUUGGGACUUUAUUGACCCAUUAAACUAUA